AAUCAUUCAAGAACGACCCAUCACUCACUACCGCACAGGUAGUUCCAGGCAAUAUUGUUUGUAAAUUAAACAGCGCCACCCUCCUCUAGCGGCCACUGUGGGUAACAACACUAACUAGCGGAGCAAGUUCUUGUUUUGACAGGAAAAAAGUGCCUUGUUUAAUUCAGUGUUCACAGGUCCAGAAUUGACGCGAAACACUCAGAUUGGCCGCUCUUGUCCUCGUCGUCGCUGAGUCACGGAGCAGAAAGGUCUCUCUACAGCACUAUCACAGUGAAGAUGCUCUCAGCAGAGGU